ACAACCCUACAAUUUUAGGCAAGUUUGCAGUCCUACACAUAGAUGCCUGUGGAAAUGUUGUGGAACCAGUGUCUGGGGUCACACCAUCCCAUGUAAAGUUGUUCCAGCCAAUUUUCUCUCCAAGAGGAGUCCUGAUGAGAUCUGGCUUUCGAGUGAAAAUUAACUGUGAAGUGUUAAUAUACAAGACCAACAAAGCAUUCCUAACACUACAUGUUUAUCUGAUCCCUCGUGAUCCUGCUCUACAACAGACAAUAAAAAACAAGGAAUUAUCCAGUGGAUACAAAAUAAUCCAAAAGCCAUACCCAGAGAAGUCCCUGAAAAUGUGCGAACGUUUUAUCCUCACAGCCGAUAUGGAGCGUGCAGAAAUUUACCCUGAGAAAUUAAAGCUCAUAUACGAAGGCAGUGACCCAAACUUCUUCGAAGUGUUCAUUGAAAAUCCAUUUCCAGCUCACACUCAGACAUGAAUCUGAAACAGUAUGGACCUGUGCAAUUAGAAAAGAUGACUAUCAAAACACUGGUGAUAUUCAGGUGAUUUACGAUAAGGAGCUUGCCAGACUGAGGCCUAAACUUGUAGAGAAAGUGUCCAGUAUGCU